rnacentral:rRNA from 1 species
ACGCUCGACACCUACGGGAAGCAGCAGUGGGGAAUAUUGCACAAUGGGGGAAACCCUGAUGCAGCGACGCCGCGUGAGUGAAGAAGUAUUUCGGUAUGUAAAGCUCUAUCAGCAGGGAAGAAGAUGACGGUACCUGAGUAAGAAGCCCCGGCUAACUACGUGCCAGCAGCCGCGGUAAUCUGAGCGGGCUGGCAAGGC